CAGCCGCCGCGGUAAAACGGAGGGUGCAAGCGUUAAUCGGAAUUACUGGGCGUAAAGCGCACGCAGGCGGUCUGACAAGUCAGAUGUGAAAUCCCCGGGCUUAACCUGGGAACUGCAUUUGAAACUGUCAGGCUGGAGUCUUGUAGAGGGGGGUGGAAUUCCAGGUGUAGCGGUGAAAUGCGUAGAGAUCUGGAGGAAUACCGGUGGCGAAGGCGGCCCCCUGGACAAAGACUGACGCUCAGGUGCGAAAGCGUGGGGAGCAAACAGGAUUAGAGACCCCGGUAGUCCCUGUCUCUUAUAC
rnacentral:rRNA from 1 species